UACGGGAGGCAGCAGUGGGGAAUAUUGCACAAUGGGCGCAAGCCUGAUGCAGCCAUGCCGCGUGUAUGAAGAAGGCCUUCGGGUUGUAAAGUACUUUCAGUCGUGAGGAAGGUGUUAAGGUUAAUAACCUUAGCAAUUGACGUUAGCGACAGAAGAAGCACCGGCUAACUCCGUGCCAGCAGCCGCGGUAAUACGGAGGGUGCGAGCGUUAAUCGGAAUUACUGGGCGUAAAGGGCACGCAGGCGGUUAAUUAAGUUGGAUGUGAAAUCCCCGGGCUUAACCUGGGAAUGGCAUUCAAGACUGGUUAGCUAGAGUCUUGUAGAGGGGGUAGAAUUCCAUGUGUAGCGGUGAAAUGCGUAGAGAUGUGGAGGAAUACCGGUGGGCGAAGGGCGGCCCCUGGGACAAAGACUGACGCUCAUGUGCGAAAGCGUGGGGAGCAAACAGGGAUUAGAUACC
rnacentral:rRNA from 1 species